GACGAACGCUGGCGGCGUGCCUAAUACAUGCAAGUUGAGCGCUGAAGGUUGGUACUUGUCCCGACUGGAUGAGCAGUGAACGGGUGAGUAACGCGUGGGGAAUCUGCCUUUGAGCGGGGGACAACAUUUGGAAACGAAUGCUAAUACCGCAUAAAAACUUUAAACACAAGUUUUAAGUUUGAAAGAUGCAAUUGCAUCACUCAAAGAUGAUCCCGCGUUGUAUUAGCUAGUUGGUGAGGUAAAGGCUCACCAAGGCGAUGAUACAUAGCCGACCUGAGAGGGUGAUCGGCCACAUUGGGACUGAGACACGGCCCAAACUCCUACGGGAGGCAGCAGUAGGGAAUCUUCGGCAAUGGACGAAAGUCUGACCGAGCAACGCCGCGUGAGUGAAGAAGGUUUUCGGAUCGUAAAACUCUGUUGGUAGAGAAGAACGUUGGUGAGAGUGGAAAGCUCAUCAAGUGACGGUAACUACCCAGAAAGGGACGGCUAACUACGUG
rnacentral:rRNA from 1 species